ACCAUAAUCUUCUGGCAGCGUCGGCUCAGGGAGGAGAAGAAGAGUUGCCGAGCAGAUGUCAGUUGUUGUGUUUAUCUCGGCGGUUUUUCCUUCGCUCGUGCACGGAUCUUAUAUCAAAGAGGGCUUAUACGAAUAAAGUGCUUAAAAGCUUUUCAGACGCCUGGUGAUCUGAACAAUUUUUGGCUUGAUCUGCAGACUAAACAAACCAUAAUGAUGCAAGCUUGUGUAAAGAUGUACACAGCAGUCAAACAACAAAUGCCGGCGCUUGAUGUUUUUAUUAAUGUUUUCUCUUCUUUUCAUCAGCUUUUGUUCACAUCUUCGCUGUUUGUGAUCUCAGCACACGGGCGACUUUGCGUCUUUCCCCUGCAGAGGUGCAAAAGCAAAAGGGCACAAAAACAGACGCGUGUCAUCUGAUGCUCGCGCCCCGGCCCAGAAAACGCACAUUUCCCUCGGGGCGCGGAAAGGGGAUUGCAGCGCGCCGUAAGCGCGACAUAAUAAAACAUAAUCCCAUCUAUUCAGCCGGUUGGGGAGCGACAACAAUCCCGCAGAAAAGGUGUAUUUUCUGGGACGGCAUAAUAAGCCGCCCGGCUCUCCCGCGGCGGCAAAGUAAAAGCAGCAUUAACUUUUUAACGCGCUCGUGUGUUUUGUAACACGGUUGCGUGUGGGAAGAAAGUUGGCAGACGUCCUCUCAAGACCUGGCGGUCUCAUUUCGAUGCAGAGAAAGGAGCGCCGGGUCCCCCCUCUGAAGUCACAACUUCUGGCUCACACGACGCCACCGAGACGUGGCGAGAUCUGCUCGCUAAAGCCAAUCAAAAGACCUGAAUUCUAUUUGUUUUGCUUCAAGGGAAGACGACAAAGGGGGCCUCAAGGUCUUCUUCAAGAUGGCUCUGAAGAAGGAAGAAGAAAUAAAGGCGGGGGAGGGGGGUCGGGGGGCUUUCGAGUGGCCGUCCUUGGCGGGACCUUUGCCGUGGUGCCAGGUACACAGCUUCUAGGAGGGAGGGGGCCCUGUUUUCAUGUCACGGCGAGGUUGGGAGUUAUUAAUAUUCUCAAAGACAGAAUUUUCUCCCCCGGAUUGAAAUAAUGGAUCAUACUUAAAAGGGGAAGAACUCAUUUCAGGUUUUAAUACGGUAAGCCUGUUGGAACCAAUUAUUGGAGGUGCUUUGCCAUUGUCAUCUUGCAUUUCUCCUUGAGGAGAUUAGCUGGCGACGCUGAAAAGGCCUCGCCGUAUCCAGGAUUUCGCUCAUUCUGAGAGUCUGCCUGAAAUGGAAUAGUUUCCUUGAUUUGUGUGUGUGUGAGUGAGUGUCAAGUUCCAAAGGGUUUCACGUAUUUUGGCUUCCUGUUCUACCUAAUUAUUGCAAUUUGAUCCUGAAGCAGGAGUGUCCUAAUCCUCUGCUGUGCUGCAGAAUCCUGUUUCUGAAACUUUGGUAAUAAAUUUGGCCUGUUUUAAUAGGGACUGGGAAAGUAGCGGCGUGACGGCAGAAGGACGGCCUCCCCGGGAAGCUCCUCUGCUCCCUCGUAAGUAAAUUCAUGCGAGGAGACGGUGGAGGCGACUCGCACAAAGUUGGAAGAAGUUGAGGAAGAAAGAAAAGCAGAAAUCCGUUUGCUUUCUUAUGUUCUCUUCUCCUUCUCUCGUGUCCCCUGAACGCUGUAGCAGUGUGCGUGUGUGUGUGUGUGUGUGUGUGUGUGUGCGUGUGCGUCCUCUGUUAAGUGAGCAGAAUCAUUGGCAGCAUCUGUGCAGCUCGGCUCACUUUGAUUCAUAAUUGGUCGUCUUUUGAAGGAAUUAGCAGCUUGUAAUUCUAUACUUUAAUUUGAAUGCCGGCAGUAAAGAUACGUAGAACUCUCUGCUGUCAUGAAAUAAUUAGAUUUCAUAUAGGAGCGUUUAAUUGUCGUGUUAAUCGCGUGGAGAUGUGUCGACCUCGCGCAGACUGCGCGUGUCUCAUCUGGAUGUUGAGGAGCCGGCUGGAACGACGUUUCUUGUCAGGUUCUUGGAUGCAUUUUGAAUGAGACAUUUAGCAGCCACCUCGAGUUCUACGUUAACUUUUUGGCUCAUGGGGUAUUUAUGUAAGCUGCACGACGGAAUGCCCGCAGGAGGGUUCCCGUAAACUACACAAAGCGCGCUGUCUGGGGCACCUGUGCAGGAACUUCUGCCAACCCGAAGCCAGCGCCUCCUCUGACGCCCCCGCAGGACUCGACUGAAGUGCACACGGUGUUUUGCAUUAAAAAUCCUUUUGAGCCCGUGUAAGUUUGAGAAUCUCUCUUUAAUAAUGCACAACGUGAAGCGGCACGGAGCAAUAUACAUUUUUAAUUACUAAAGUGACUAAUAUCUAGGUUUGGCUUUGAGGUUUUUGUCCCAUAAAAUAUGCAUCUGUAUUUUGUUCCCUGCAGCUGAGUCGGAUACUCACACCUGAGAGGAGGAAGUGCAGGAACGCGUGUUCAGGUACCUCCUUCAAAUAAGUCCAUGUGAAUUUUCUGAAGAGGAAAAGGAGCCACGCAGAGCCAAAUAACCAGCAGGUUGUUGGAGCUCGUCCUAAUAACGGCGCCGCCUCGUCCUCUGCCGUAAACCUCUUUCUUAGUUUAAAAAAAAGCCCAAAAGCUCAUUUGAAAUGCCUUAAAGCGACACGUGUGGUUUUGUAGGAAAAAAGGCAAUAAACACAUUUUUAUAAUGUCAUGACAGGAGGAAUAAAGAGGUGGUAUCUUUUGUUUGGAACCAAAAACUUCUCUUUUAUGUGUUUAACCUUUAAUUAACCCGACGGCGCCUCUGACAUUUGCAAAAUCUCCUUUUCAAGCAACUCUGGGUGCAGAGAGCGCCGCCACGAGACGCAGGGAGCUGCAGAAAAACAACAUAUGGCAAUUUGCAAAAGCAGACGGGGAUCAACGCGAGGAGCACGGACACGUUUUAACUAACUGGACCUUCCACGGUCUGGAAUGAAAAGCCAAUCAGUGUUAACGUUUCACACUGGUGCUUAUGGCUCAAACUAAACGGGUUCCCUCCUCCUCGCGGACUUUGUGGAGUAUUGUGCACAGCGGGGGGGGGGGGCACCAAAAAGAGAGUUUUACUGCGUCUUUUUGCCUCCGUGUUUCCCCAUUUGUCUGCAUUAAUUGGAGAGCCUUCCUUUUUUAGCUGGAGUGCAUUAUUUAUGUCGGAAGGCUCUAUUUUCCCCACCAAGACGACCAGGCUCUCCUGACGCCAACCUCGUCUCGUGAGUGAGCAGCCUUACCUUAGCGGCUUCCCCCAUAAAUUAAAGUUAAAUGAACUCCAGCAAAAAGUAUCUGUGGCCUUUAAGUGGAAAAGUAAGUCAUUAAUCAAUCAUGCGUCUCGUCACAUCUCCCCCCGAUUUAAAAACCAAUGUCCAAGGGAGAGACGGCUACGAAGCCGCAGUCUUUUCGCGGCGCAUCGUGCGAUUCUCUGCGCGGCUUCAUCAGAGACGGAGAAGCCCGGAAGGGAGAGUCAACCUACCUAAUUCCACUUGUGAUGACUUAUUCCAUUUCUCUCAGUCCUCGCUGGUGAUGUUUAUGCCGUCUCAGUGCGCUUAGCUUCUCCUUUCUUUCACUUAAACUCUCCAGCGUUACCGCAGAGGAGAAACCCGUCCCCACUCUUCACCGCAACUUCUUCAAAGUUCAAAUCCACCCAGUAUGAUGUCAAUUAAAGGUGACAAAAACUUUAGCACUUCCAUAUGCGGCUUCAUUCUGCCUGUGUGUCCCGUGUUUCGUGAGGUGUCCUCGCUGCCGCGUCCUCAGCAGCACCACGCGUUCCUCAUUAGGGACAGAACGCAUUCAAAUACGCCUCCGCCGCUCAUUUGCUUUAGGAUUUAUCAGAGGCCCAAGUUUCAUUCUUCUGCUUUUUGCUUGGCUGCUGUGCACUGUUCAUUUUGGCAGCUAUUUCUGAUUUAGUCUUUAGACGAAAAAUGCAUAUUAGUUUUAGUCACAUUUAGUCAUUUUAAUCCUUCUUAGUUUUAGUCUAGUUUUAGUUGACCAAAACUAGACUAAAAUUUAAUGUACUAGUUUUAGUCCCAUUUAACAGCCAUAUUAAACUCCUUUUCUUCCCUUCUCAGGCCCAGGGACCCCUGUGGUGUGUCUACAGCUGCAUAAUAGUCCAGCUUGCAGUACUUGGUUGUCCAUUAGAUGUCCCUCCUAGGACAGGUCUAUAGAUGUCCCUCCUAGGACAGGCCUAUAGAUGUCCCUCCUAGGACAGGCCUAUAGAUGUCCCUCCUAGGACAGGCCUAUGGAUGUCCCUCAUAGGACAGGCCUAUGGAUGUCCCUCAUAGGACAGGCCUAUGGAUGUCCCUCAUAGGACAGGCCUAUGGAUGUCCCUCAUAGGACAGGUCUAUAGAUCAGGUCUAUAGCAGGUCGGCAAACGCUUUGACUCGGGGUCACAGUGGGUUGUAAAAUGUGACGGAGGAAGAACAAAUGGUUAAAGUGUUUGUGUGAGUUGAUAUAAAUGACGUGUGAAACAUCAUUACAUGAAAGGAUUUGGAUUUUAACAAAUAGCAAAGCAUUUAUUUGAAAGGCAAUUUAACAAAUUGGCAAAGGUGUAACAACUUCAUGAGGACCAGGGACAUAAACGCAACACUUUGUUGUCUUUGUCUGUUUACUUGCAACGCUUUGGACACGGCCACCUGUCACGCGUGUGACGCCGCUAUGUUGCUUAGUAACGAGCGGACGGUGGCCGAGACGGUUUAACAGUCUUCUCACGAUGUGGCGCGUGAACCACAGUUUCAGAACCUGCAAUGAGUUUAUCACGUUAGACGCGUUUGUGACGGAGCGUCUCAUCCAGCCGAGGAAACGCUGCCUGCCGUCGCCAGAGAACAGAGCAGAAAGGUCCGACGGUCUUUAAACGCGUCUUCAUGUUUCUGUGAAGCAGCGCGGCUUCAGCCCGCUAACAGUCAGCUAACAGGCAGCUAACCAGAGACAGCGGAGCUAAACUAACGAAGCCACGUUGUGUCGGUAUCUGAACGCGUGCGGCGCUCCCAGAGAGACGCCACCGUCCUCCUCUGAACGCCUCACAGCCCUAAUGCUGGUUUGAAGACGGCGCGCCGAAAAGGCCACGACCUUUCAAAGUAAAGCGAAGCCCAAACUGUGGUGGUCGGCGCUGCGGAGCGAGAAGAUUUCACUCAUCAGCAGAAAUUUGGAGAAGAAGGCAGCUCAAAUCCAGCAAACAAUAAGAAAUGAAAAGAGGAUAAAGGGGCAGCUUGAACUAAAUAUGCAGAGAAUGUAGAAAGCACCAAAAUAAAAGACAAAGUCAAUUUAACUUAAAUGGCUCUAAACUUUAAAACCCCACAUUAGUUUCUAAUUAAAAUGUCCCUCUUAUUGAAAUUUUUGAUAAUUGCCUCCUCAGUGCUGCUGUACGGAUCUCCUCAAAGGGCCGAAGUAUUUUCGUUUCCCAGCAUUCGGGGUCAUGAAUGUGAGCACGUCGCCACACCUGCCCCAACGUCGCCCCCCCUCCCCCAUCAUUGGUUCACACGUGUACGUCUGUGGACCUGCAGCUCCGUCCUCUGCAGCGCUCAGUUCAUCUUUUCUGAAUAACAGCUACAGCGAAUGUUGGAGGGAGAAAAUAAAAAGCAGUCCACGUUGAGAUGAUUGAUGCUCGUCUAUCUGGCGGCGCUUCGUGGCGCCCGCGAAACAGGAAAUAGCUCCGAGAGGAACCAAACCAAAGAGGAUGAAUUAGGCAUUUCCUCUGAGCCGCCGUUAACUCUCGCCGUGCCGCUGCAGGUUUUCCUCUUAUUGAAGUUGUGAGUUCACGUCACUCCGCGACUGUGAGACGCGGGUCGAGCGCCGUGUCCUCACGCAAGCCGUCCUCCGUGUGGACGUGACGCUCUGUUAAUUUGUCCUCUGUUGUGGUUGUUUGAUGAAAUCUGCUCAUCUCAGUGAACAAAGAACUUCAGCAUUCAUCUCACUAGAGGAUGCGUAACGUAUUAGCAGGAGGAGGAGGAGGAGGAGGACGGGGAGGAGGAGGAGGUGGUGCCGUCCUUCCUGGCAACCGCGGCCGGUGAAGAUCUGUGACAGAUGGGGACGAGUCACAAAACUCACAGCCUCGGGCGAAAUUUAUCCCCCAGAACUUUCCACAGGGUGCCCAGAUUUACCUGAUCAGAGCGAUGAGGAGGGAGGGAGGGUGUGUGUGUGUGUGUGUGUGUGUGUGUGUGAGAGAGCGAGUGUUUGCAUGUAUUUGUGCGUGUGCUUGUAAUAAAUGUGCAGAGGAAGCCUGGCCGCCUGUCAUGGCUGACACAGAGCCCAUCUGCCUCAAAC
ensembl:lncRNA